UUUAGGAGGGAAGAACAUACUUCAACAUACCGAAGUCUUUUUGGCUUCUUUGCAGAACAGAAUUUUUUAAAGCGAGAACAGAUGAGACAGGGAUUUUUUUUCCCCUAAAAUGAACCAGCAAAUAUUUUAUCUUAUGGCCAUACUGUUAUUAUGUAUGGCUAGCAAAGGAAAUAUCUAAGGGUUUAGGACCAUAGAUAUAUUUUUUUCCAGCAAUUACUUUACUGCAGCCUAACACAUAAAAUAUUAUUUAUGUAUUGUGUGAUAUAUGUCAGUUUUGGGCACAGGUGAAUUCCCCCUUCAGUUUAGGAAUUUUAUUCUCAAGUGGCUCAGACGGACCAGGGCAGAAUGGGCAGGGAUGAAUAGUGACAGUGUGAGGGGGUGCAGGGAAAGCAGGAGUCUGUUGGAAUGAAACACAUACAGAUUCAGGACACUGGAAGCCAGUGAAGAGGACCAUGUUGUGUCCACAUUUAAUUGGACACACACUCGUAGAAUCCACUCAUCCUGCCACAGAUAUACAGGGCCAGACUUACCAACCGUGGGGCCCAAUUGGAAUCAUUUUGGCGGGCCCCCCUAGACAGUGUGUUACUGUUUGGCACAGGGUUUCAGGGCAAAUAGUUUCUGCCUCUCCCUCUCUCCAUGUGACUGCUUGCAGUCGGGGUUGUGGGCAGGCUCAGCCAAUUGGGUUUGGGGCAGGCUGGGCAGAUGGGGUAACAAGUAAAAGCUCCUGGCUCUCUGAGUUGCCAUAGUGCGGGUCCACAUGGGCAGCCCAAAGGCCGUCUCUACAGAUAUAAGUCAAUAGAUAUAUGGAUGACAGAUGAAAGAUAGACUAUAGAUAGAACUGGGUUUAUUUAUUUUGUGUUUUCUCUCCCUUUCUUGCUCGCUUCUCUUCACUUUUCUUUCUGUUGGAAAUUAUUUUUCUUGUUUUCAGAUCACUGCACAACAGAUCCCUACUUAAAACUGAGAAACGAUGGAAGAGAUGGAGCGGUCUCAUCACAGGCAGGUGUUAGUCAGCACCACACCACACAAAACACAGUACUUAGUUAUUACUAUGUUAGACUGCACUAUAGCCUACACCAGGGAUCCCCAACCAGUGGCUUGGGGGCACCAUGUUGAUCCCCAACCCCUUGGAUGUUGCUCUCAGUGCCCCCAAACCAGGUAGUUAUUUUUGAAUUCCUGACUUGGGGGCAAGUUUUGGUUGAAUAAAAACAAGCUUUCCUACCAAAUAAAGCCCCCUGUAAGCUGAUAGGGUGCAUAGAGGCCCCUAAUACCCAAUCUUAGCCCUUAUUUGGCUCCUCCAUGAACUUUUAUGAUGCUUGUGUUGCUCCCCAAGUCUUUUUACAUUUGACCGUGGCUAACAAGUAAGAAAGGUUGGGGAGCUCUGGUCUACACCAUAUAAGUCUUUACCGCCGAUAACUAAUAAUCUUAAAUUUCACUUUUUUAUGUCCUUAUUAAGAAUGAAAAUGUCUAGAAGCAGUCACUGGAGAUGUAGCUAGAGUAAUACACUUUAAAAUGCAUUUUGAAACACUUGGGACAAAGUAGCCCAACGCCUCACUUGCGAGCAAAGGAAGGCAGUUGUAAUAAAAAAUAAAAUUCUCAAUAA